AUCGUGUUGUGGGUUACACUGCUUCUCCUUCACCAGGGAUAUACGCUGACUCCAGUGACCACAGUUCAUCUUGGUGAACCUGCCACCUUGACAUGUGUUUUCUCUAAUAAAGAGUUGAGCAGCAAAAAACUCCACUGGUACAAGCAGAGUGCCGGGGAAACUCUGAAAUGUAUUGUGACACUGUGGAAAUCUACACAACCUCAGUAUGCACCAGAUGUUUCUGAAUCACGAUUGGAGGAAACACUCAGAGGACAUCAAACUAUACUGUUGUUCAGUGGCCAACAUUAUCUGAUCCAGUCCGUCCAGGAGACUCAGUGUCUUUUCAGUGUUCAAUCCUCUCUGACUCUGAGGACAAGACGUGUCCAGGAGAUGACAGUGUGUUCUGGUUCAGAGCCGGAUCAGAUAAAUCUCAUCCAGACAUCAUCUACACUGAUGAAAGACAACAUGACGGAUGUGACAAGAGAUCUGACACUCAGAAGAGUUGUGUUUAUCGCUUUUCUAAAAUCGUCAGCUCCUCUGAUGCCGG
rnacentral:lncRNA from 1 species